rnacentral:lncRNA from 1 species
ACUUUAAGCGGCACCCCUGGCCCUGGCCCAGCCUCUGCCCCCAGCCCGAGCUUUUCUCCCCUGGGUCUCAGUGUGUCAGAGGAGAGCCAACGAAGCAAGUCAAGUUUGCUGGAACUGUGGAUCUAGACCAGAGAGGUGGGCUCAGGAGGCAAGGUCAGGUUUCCCAGCCUGGGGGCACUAUUCCAGGCAGGGGAAGGAGUGUAGCUUCAUUAACUGUGGACAGUCUACCUGGAUUUCCCAUUCGAAGCACCUGGCUCUUCAAUACACACACCAGGCAGAGAGGAGGCAGGCCCUGGGCACCGCAGGGGGUCGUGAAGCUGGGUUUGCCCCCCCCCCCCCCGAGAAACUCCAGCACCCACAGUGAGCUCCCAGGGGCAAGGCAGCCGCACCCUUGGACCCCGUUUACCCGCUCGCAUUAUCACACGCUAGAGAUAGAGGGGUCUGUCCAGUUGUUUUGGGCCUAGGGUGUCCCUGGCCUGGCUCCCUGUGCAAAUGUACGCCCCCCCACCGCCCCCAACUUUCCCCAGCGAUCUCGAUGCCCUUUCCAGGGGUAUUUUCCGCCCCUGAGUCCGGAGGGACCUUGGCAGCUAGAGCGGCAGGGGGCUGACGGCCUCCCGGGCUCAGGGUGGGGGUUGGGGAGGCCCCGGGGAGCCGGGCUGCGCUGCGGCUCCCGCGCUAAUCAAUGGGCCGCAGCCGGCGGGAGAGGCCGGGCCGGGGGAUUAGGGGCCGAGAAGGGCGAUUACGGAGCCCGGCCGUCCUCGGCCGCGCGGCCCAAAUGCCGCAUUUCGGAUGCAGCGCCGCGCUCGGCGUGUUUGCUCCGAGGGCUGGGGCCCUGGGGCAGGAAGCCAACUCGCAAGUGUAUCGGAGAUUAGAGCGAGCGGCGGCGGGGGCGGGCGCUGGACAAACACGCCGCGGCAGCCUCAAUCCCCCGGCCUGGAUUCCGCCCGCGGCCGCGCGCGCCCGCCAGGACCUAGCCGGAGAUUUUUUGUUUUCUUCUCUCCAGUGUCGUGAAUUGCCGCACCUUUUCUGUAAAGAGCACGCACGUGGCGGACCCUGGUUUGGUGCAAAAGCCCGCGGUGGGAGAGAUGGCCACGAGCAGGGGGGACGCACCCACUGUCUUCCCCCGACUCCUCCCGCGCCCAGGUUCCUUCCGCCCCUCCCCAAUCUGCCUGUGGCUCCCGGCUGGGGACGGACGAGAAAGGAUGUAAAGGCUUCCCCGGCGCACUCAUUGGGGCUGCAGAUAUCAGGUAGCUCUGUCCCCUUCCGCGGCGUGCGAGGUCCAGCACCUGCAUCGCGCGGUCUGCGCGCGCCCCCUGCUGCCCACUUUGGGAAACGACACUCUCCUAAGGCCUGGCUCUUGGAUCCCGGUUUCCAGCGACCCCGCCUCACCUCUCACGUCCAGGAAGAGCAGGUACCUUAUUUAUUUGUUUAA